GCCCCUGAGCCGUGGGACCGUGUUGUUCACACAGCUAGUGCUCAGUGGACACUUAAUGAACGAUUUGCAUGGGCUGGAAGGUUGGACAGAGACUCCCUGAAGAAGCUGUGACUUCUCUGCCACCUCCUCAGAGAUGAUUCCCUCAGGGAGCGUUGUGUGGCUGGGGCAUGGGGGUGUUUGCGCUGGCUCGUGCUUUGCAGGGACACAGCUGGGCACACAGAUGCCUUCAAAGCAGCGUGAUACUGAGCAGCCCCUGUUAUCCAAGGACAAAGGCGCUCCCGCACACUUUCCUUCUUGGCGGCCUGUGGAGCAGACUGGGCCUCUGCUAACUCCUGUGGCCUCUGGACUUGCCGCUGCCAGCGAGCAGCAAAGAUGGGACAUUUUUGCCCUUUCUACAUCUCACAAACAGGCCCCAUGUGGGAUGAACAGGGGACUGUGCCCUUAAAGAGUUACAGAAAAGACGCAUUUGGGACAAAAGGAACUUUAAUGGGAAAGAUGAGAAACAAGAAGAAAACAAG
rnacentral:lncRNA from 1 species